rnacentral:lncRNA from 1 species
CCAGAGCAGCAGUUGAGGCUGGCUGGGUACAGCUGACAGCUCACAAUCAGAGCUAGCCAUAUCUCCUAUUUAGAGUCACUCAAUUUGACAUUUCAUCUCAAGGGCUAAAGAUUAGCAAUGUCUCGAGGGCUAAGAUGAGUAAGAUGAAAAAUUCAGGAUUCAUAAAAAUAAUAGUUGUUAAGACAUACUUUUAUUUUUAGUUCAGUAAAAUGGUUAACUCAGGAGAACUAAAAUAGUGGGAAACGUUUUUUGUUUUUUUGAGACAGGGUUUCUCUGUGUAGCCCUGGCUGUCCUGGAACUCACUCUGUAGACCAGGCUGGCCUCGAACUCAGAAAUCCGCCUGCCUCUGCCUCCCGAGUGCUGGGAUUAAAGGUGUGCGCCACCACACCUGGCUAGAAACUUUUGUUAUUUAAGUGUGAAAAGACUUUAAAAACUGUUUUUUACAAAGUGACAGGUCAGAACUUGAGUUUGGGAUGGGAGUGGUCAGCACAGGGCACUGUGAUGGCCAUAUGUCCCGUCAUGAGUGCCUCUUACCUGGUACAAAGUGCCAUCCUGAGAGCAGACUUGCGAGGCUGAACAGUUCAGACAGCAAAGCUGCGGAGGAGAUGAACCCAUCAGAUAAGAGGCAUCCACAGCGGGACACAUUGCAAACUCAAACACUGCCAGAGAUUGUAAAGCAAGCAAUGAGGGCAGGAAUGGUGCUGGAGUGUGGCGGAGGCUGCGAGAAGAGGUGGAAGCAGCAAGAAGCACCGGGAAAAGGCAGCCGGCUAGACUGAGGGCAUUCGACCUGCCCACAAGAAGAUGGGCAAGUAGAACAUGGCCCGCAGGGAAGGCUGCGGCUGAGCUCGCUAAGUGCAAGCGAGUGGACUGUGCUCCCAGGCAGGUUGACAGACACUGUGACUUUCUUCUCCUACAUUUCUUACACUAGACAUCCUGCUACAUACUUUAGCCGUAAUAGUAAUUCUUGCUAAAUUUCCUACACAGUACUAUCACAAUUGUAAGGAUUCCGAAAAACUGGAAAAAGAGGGAGGCAGAACAGAACACAUUUAGAAGAAAAAAAAGCUACAGUGAAUACAGGAAGAUGUCAGUGUUCAGAACACAGGAACACUUUCUAGAAGCC